rnacentral:rRNA from 1 species
AACGAACGCUGGCGGCAUGCCUAACACAUGCAAGUCGAACGAGACCUUCGGGUCUAGUGGCGCACGGGUGCGUAACGCGUGGGAACCUGCCCUUAGGUUCGGAAUAACUCCCCGAAAGGGGUGCUAAUACCGGAUAAUGUCUUCGGACCAAAGAUUUAUCGCCUUUGGAUGGGCCCGCGUUGGAUUAGCUAGUUGGUAGGGUAAAAGCCUACCAAGGCGACGAUCCAUAGCUGGUCUGAGAGGAUGAUCAGCCACACUGGGACUGAGACACGGCCCAGACUCCUACGGGAGGCAGCAGUGGGUAAUAUUGGACAAUGGGCGAAAGCCUGAUCCAGCAAUGCCGCGUGAGAGAUGAAGGCCUUAGGGUUGUAAAGCUCUUUUAGCCGGGAUGAGAAUGACAGUACCGGGAGAAUAAGCUCCGGCUAACUCCGUG